rnacentral:rRNA from 1 species
GUACACAAAAAUGCACAUACUGUGAGCUCGAUGAGUAGGGCGGGACACGUGGUAUCCUGUCUGAAUAUGGGGGGACCAUCCUCCAAGGCUAAAUACUCCUGACUGACCGAUAGUGAACCAGUACCGUGAGGGAAAGGCGAAAAGAACCCCGGCGAGGGGAGUGAAAAAGAACCUGAAACCGUGUACGUACAAGCAGUGGGAGCCUCUUAAUGGGGUGACUGCGUACCUUUUGUAUAAUGGGUCAGCGACUUAUAUUCUGUAGCAAGGUUAACCGAAUAGGGGAGCCGAAGGGAAACCGAGUCUUAACUGGGCGUUAAGUUGCAGGGUAUAGACCCGAAACCCGGUGAUCUAGCCAUGGGCAGGUUGAAGGUUGGGUAACACUAACUGGAGGACCGAACCGACUAAUGUUGAAAAAUUAGCGGAUGACUUGUGGCUGGGGGUGAAAGGCCAAUCAAACCGGGAGAUAGCUGGUUCUCCCCGAAAGCUAUUUAGGUAGCGCCUCGUGAAUUCAUCUCCGGGGGUAGAGCACUGUUUCGGCAAGGGGGUCAUCCCGACUUACCAACCCGAUGCAAACUGCGAAUACCGGAGAAUGUUAUCACGGGAGACACACGGCGGGUGCUAACGUCCGUCGUGAAGAGGGAAACAACCCAGACCGCCAGCUAAGGUCCCAAAGUCAUGGUUAAGUGGGAAACGAUGUGGGAAGGCCCAGACAGCCAGGAUGUUGGCUUAGAAGCAGCCAUCAUUUAAAGAAAGCGUAAUAGCUCACUGGUCGAGUCGGCCUGCGCGGAAGAUGUAACGGGGCUAAACCAUGCACCGAAGCUGCGGCAGCGACGCUGAUGCGUUGUUGGGUAGGGGAGCGUUCUGUAAGCCUGUGAAGGUGGCCUGUGAGGGUUGCUGGAGGUAUCAGAAGUGCGAAUGCUGACAUAAGUAACGAUAAAGCGGGUGAAAAGCCCGCUCGCCGGAAGACCAAGGGUUCCUGUCCAACGUUAAUCGGGGCAGGGUGAGUCGACCCCUAAGGCGAGGCCGAAAGGCGUAGUCGAUGGGAAACAGGUUAAUAUUCCUGUACUUGGUGUUACUGCGAAGGGGGGACGGAGAAGGCUAUGUUGGCCGGGCGACGGUUGUCCCGGUUUAAGCGUGUAGGCUGGUUUUCCAGGCAAAUCCGGAAAAUCAAGGCUGAGGCGUGAUGACGAGGCACUACGGUGCUGAAGCGACAAAUGCCCUGCUUCCAGGAAAAGCCUCUAAGCAUCAGGUAACAUCAAAUCGUACCCCAAACCGACACAGGUGGUCAGGUAGAGAAUACCAAGGCGCUUGAGAGAACUCGGGUGAAGGAACUAGGCAAAAUGGUGCCGUAACUUCGGGAGAAGGCACGCUGAUAUGUAGGUGAAGCGACUUGCUCGUGGAGCUGAAAUCAGUCGAAGAUACCAGCUGGCUGCAACUGUUUAUUAAAAACACAGCACUGUGCAAACACGAAAGUGGACGUAUACGGUGUGACGCCUGCCCGGUGCCGGAAGGUUAAUUGAUGGGGUUAGCGGUAACGCGAAGCUCUUGAUCGAAGCCCCGGUAAACGGCGGCCGUAACUAUAACGGUCCUAAGGUAGCGAAAUUCCUUGUCGGGUAAGUUCCGACCUGCACGAAUGGCGUAAUGAUGGCCAGGCUGUCUCCACCCGAGACUCAGUGAAAUUGAACUCGCUGUGAAGAUGCAGUGUACCCGCGGCAAGACGGAAAGACCCCGUGAACCUUUACUAUAGCUUGACACUGAACAUUGAGCCUUGAUGUGUAGGAUAGGUGGGAGGCUUUGAAGUGUGGACGCCAGUCUGCAUGGAGCCGACCUUGAAAUACCACCCUUUAAUGUUUGAUGUUCUAACGUGGGCCCCUUACCGGGGUUGCGGACAGUGUCUGGUGGGUAGUUUGACUGGGGCGGUCUCCUCCUAAAGAGUAACGGAGGAGCACGAAGGUUGGCUAAUCCUGGUCGGACAUCAGGAGGUUAGUGCAAUGGCAUAAGCCAGCUUGACUGCGAGCGUGACGGCGCGAGCAGGUGCGAAAGCAGGUCAUAGUGAUCCGGUGGUUCUGAAUGGAAGGGCCAUCGCUCAACGGAUAAAAGGUACUCCGGGGAUAACAGGCUGAUACCGCCCAAGAGUUCAUAUCGACGGCGGUGUUUGGCACCUCGAUGUCGGCUCAUCACAUCCUGGGGCUGAAGUAGGUCCCAAGGGUAUGGCUGUUCGCCAUUUAAAGUGGUACGCGAGCUGGGUUUAGAACGUCGUGAGACAGUUCGGUCCCUAUCUGCCGUGGGCGCUGGAGAACUGAGGGGGGCUGCUCCUAGUACGAGAGGACCGGAGUGGACGCAUCACUGGUGUUCGGGUUGUCAUGCCAAUGGCACUGCCCGGUAGCUAAAUGCGGAAGAGAUAAGUGCUGAAAGCAUCUAAGCACGAAACUUGCCCCGAGAUGAGUUCUCCCUGAGACUUAGAGUCUCCUGAAGGAACGUUGAAGACGACGACGUUGAUAGGCCGGGUGUGUAAGCGCAGCGAUGCGUUGAGCUAACCGGUACUAAUGAACCGUGAGGCUUAACCUU